AGGACGAACGCUGGCGGUGUGCUUCACACAUGCAAGUCGAACGAGGUAGCAAUACCUAGUGGCGGACGGGUGAGUAACGCGUGGGAAUCUGCCUUGAGAUGGGGGAUAACGAGCCGAAAGGCUCGCUAAUACCGCAUAUGCCGAAAGGUGAAAGGAGUAAUCCGUCUUAAGAUGAGCCCGCGUCCGAUUAGCUAGUUGGUGGGGUAAAGGCCUACCAAGGCGACGAUCGGUAGCUGGUCUGAGAGGAUGAUCAGCCACACUGGAACUGAGACACGGUCCAGACUCCUACGGGAGGCAGCAGUAGGGAAUAUUGGACAAUGGGCGCAAGCCUGAUCCAGCCAUGCCGCGUGAGUGAAGAAGGCCCUCGGGUUGUAAAGCUCUUUUGUCCGGAAAGAAAAGCGCCGGGUUAAUACCCUGGUGUCCUGACGGUACCGGAAGAAUAAGCACCGGCUAACUUCGUG
rnacentral:rRNA from 1 species